rnacentral:rRNA from 1 species
GAUUAACGCUGGCGGCGUGCCUAACACAUGCAAGUCGAACGAGGUAGCAAUACCUAGUGGCAGACGGGUGAGUAACGCGUGGUCAACCUACCGUUGAGUGGGGGAUAACUAGCCGAAAGGUUAGCUAAUACCGGAUACGACUCCGCGGUGCAUGCUGUGGGGUGGAAAGCCUUGUGCGGCUGGAGAUGGGCCCGCGGCCUAUCAGCUUGUUGGUGGGGUGAUGGCCUACCAAGGCGACGACGGGUAGCCGGCCUGAGAGGGCGACCGGCCACACUGGGACUGAGACACGGCCCAGACUCCUACGGGAGGCAGCAGUGGGAAUCUUGCGCAAUGGGCGAAAGCCUGACGCAGCGACGCCGCGUGAGGGAUGACGGCCU